AACUCUUAGCGUGGAUCACUCGGCUCGUGCCGUCGAUGUGCGUUCGCUUGCAGAAUUAAUGUGAAUUGCAGGACACAUUGAUCAUCGACACUUCGAACGCACUUGCGGCCCCGGUUCCUCCCGGGGCUACGCCUGCCUGAGCGUCG
rnacentral:rRNA from 1 species